rnacentral:misc_RNA from 1 species
GAUGAAGAACGUAGCGAAAUGCGAUAAGUAAUGUGAAUUGCAGAAUUCAGUGAAUCAUCGAAUCUUUGAACGCACAUUGCGCCCCUUGGUAUUCCGAGGGGCAUGCCUAUUCGAGCGUCAUUAUCACCCCUCAAGCCUAGCUUGGUGUUGAGGCCUGCUGUUAAGGCAGCCUCUAAAAUCAGUGGCAGUGCUGUCAGGCUCUAAGCGUAGUAAUUUCAUCGCUAUAGAUACCUGGUGGAUACUCGCCAGAACCCCCCCAUUUUUUAAUGAUUGACCUCGGAUUAGGUAGGGAUACCCGCUGAACUUAAGCAUAUCAAUAAGCGGAGGA